AGCGAACGCUGGCGGCAGGCCUAACACAUGCAAGUCGAACGAACCUUUCGGGGUUAGUGGCGGACGGGUGAGUAACACGUGGGAACGUGCCUUUAGGUUCGGAAUAACUCAGGGAAACUUGUGCUAAUACCGAAUGUGCCCUUCGGGGGAAAGAUUAAUCGCCUUUAGAGCGGCCCGCGUCUGAUUAGCUAGUUGGUUGAGGUAAUGGCUCACCAAGGCGACGAUCAGUAGCUGGUCUGAGAGGAUGAUCAGCCACAUUGGGACUGAGACACGGCCCAAACUCCUACGGGAGGCAGCAGUGGGGAAUCUUGCGCAAUGGGCGAAAGCCUGACGCAGCCAUGCCGCGUGAAUGAUGAAGGUCUUAGGAUUGUAAAAUUCUUUCACCGGGGACGAUAAUGACGGUACCCGGAGAAGAAGCCCCGGCCAACUUCGUG
rnacentral:rRNA from 1 species